rnacentral:lncRNA from 1 species
AUGGACGAUACUUUUCAUAGAAAAACGAACAAUUUGGAUAACCCAAUAGAACAAAAACAGUUUGUCCAAAAAAGAACAUCUCUUUUUCGAAAUAAAAGAGAAGAUAAAUUGGAAGCGUGUUACCGAUAUCAAAAAAAGUUUAACAACACAAAUUUUAUACGACAUACUGAAAAAGUGGAUACUAUCAAUAAGACGCAUGUUAUGGAUAAUAGCGAUGUGGAUAAUGAUAGUUUUGAUGAUAGUUUGGAUAAUAGUUUGGAUGACAGUAUUUAUAAUGGCGGUGUACAUAAGAGAGGUGUACAUAAGGGAGGUGUACAUAAGGGAGGUGUAAAUGAUGGCACUGAUGCUGCCUCCAAUUUGGACAACACAAACGACAAAAGUGUUACAACAGACAGUAACAUAUACGACCCAAAAAAAUACAGCCUUGAUGAUUUUAUUAACAAAAAUAAAGACAUAAUCUCGAACAAAGAUUUAUUAGAUAAUGAAGAGAACAAUAAUUAUAAUAAACUGAAAAACAAUAGAGCUUUCGAUUUUUAUAUUAAAGAAAAGUUUGAUGAGAUACGGAAUUUGAAAAAACAAGUAGAUAAUUUGGAAAAAGAGUUAAAAGAAAUAACUAAAAUAAAUUUAUUGGAGUAUAUUGUAUUAUGUCCAGGUUUAUGUGAAGAACCUAAAAAUAUGAAUGACCAAUGGUGUCUGUUUUGGAAUGAUAUUGGUCAUAUUACCAAAGUAAGAGAUGGUAAUAAAACAUAUAUUUACGUAUUUUUAUUUAGAGGAGAGGAAGUCGGGAAAAAAAGAAUUACUGAUAUUUAUAAUGUUACGUAUGCUUCUUUAAGUGCGUAUGGUAUUGCUUUAGCAUCCACACCUUAUAAAACAUCCGCUUCAAGCGCACAUAGUAUAUUAUGUUUUCAUAAUUUAAAAAAUACUACAAUUUGGUAUAAAUAUUUUCCAAAAGGUGAAUAUAUUAAAGCAGUAGCUAAUGGAAAUAAUUUUGUAGCUGUUAUUACAUCAAAUAAUUUUUUAAGAAUUUAUUCAGAAUAUGGUUAUAUGUUUAAUACAAUUUUAUUAAAAGGUAUGCCAAUCGCUAUUUGUGCAUAUGAAUAUUUACUUUUUGUUAUCACUAGUCCUUUUGUAUUUGAAAAUGUAACUACCUUCAACAUAAAUAAUACAUAUAAUUGUACAUUAUAUAAAAUAUAUGAACAUUUUUCAGAUAUUAAAAUAAAUAAAUAUAAUACAUAUCAUAUAACUAUAUUAUAUGAUGACAUUUUAUCUUUACCAUCAUGUUAUUAUAUAAAUUGGGUAAACCUAUCUAAUUUUGGUGUACCCUAUGUGAAAGAUACAUCUAAUUUUAUAUAUGCUUUAUUUCCAUUAUUUAAAAAAAAUAACAAUGUAGUAUAUGACUGGGUGCCUGUGUUUGACAUGAACAAACUUUAUAAAGGUAAAAAAAAAGGUAUUAAAAAAUAUAAAAAUAAACAAAAAAAUAAGAAUACUGUGGGUAACCUUUUGUUCGACAAAAAUGAACAAAAUAAUGACGAUGGAGAAGUAGAAAAAGAAUGGGAAAAAGACUGGAAUGAAGAAGAGGAAGAAGAAGAAGAAGAAGAAGAGGAGGACGAAGAAGAGGACGAAGAAGAUGCAAUAAACACGCGUAAUACAAAUUUCGAUUUUCCAGCAGAACGAAUAUAUUAUCCUUUAUAUUUUGAUAAUCACGAACAGAUAUCAGUUAUUAAAUUAAAUCCAAAUGAAACAGAACCCAAAUCAAACAAAAUAGAAAGUUGUUUAGGUUAUAAUGUAGAAAAAAAAUAUAUAGUUAUGAGCGAAUGUAAUUUAAUAGAAUAUGAGAAAAUUGUUAAUUUAUUAAAUAAAAAUCCGAAUUUAAAUUUUGACAUUAAUGAUAGUGAUAACAAACUGAGUGUAUUACCAUGGGAGCAGUAUGAUGAAAUGAGAACACGUGUUGAUUUAUUUUGUAAACAAUUAUAUGUAAAUAUAUUGUAUGAUUAUAUGAACGAUCAAGAAAAUAAAAGUGCUAAUGAUACUUUAAAAGUAUAUAAUAAAUUAUGUGAUAAAUGGAUAAUGAGAAUGUUUGCCAUACUUAAAAAUGAUAGAAAACAGCAUAAAUUAGCUGUCAAGUCAUCUAGACUUUUUAAAAAUAUAAAAAAUAUGUUAUUAUCAAUUAAAUUAGUAGAUGAUGAAAAUAGUACUUUACAUAGUGAAAUAACAAAUGAAUAUUUAAAGAGACAAAAUGAUGAUACUAGAUAUAAAAAGUUACAACACCAAUUGAAACAAGAACAAGACGAACACAGUGGGUCAAAUAAAAAAGAGAAUAAUACUGAUGAGAAGUUUCUAUAUGGUAAACAUAUUGGACAUAAUAAAAAUAGUGAAUAUGAUACAAACAAAGAUACAAAUUACAAUAACGAAGAUCAACGUAUUUUGCAACAAGUAAAAAAUAACUUUGCCCAAAUAAAACGAAAUAGUCAUAUAAAUAAUAAUCCCAUUAUAAACAAUUUUGAUUUAAAAGAAAAAAAAGAAAAUAGUUUUUUGGACAGAUUUUUUACAGGAGUAACUCAAAAUCAUAAUGUUGAAACUAUUUUCUCAAAUGAAAAAAAAACAACUCAAAUUAAAAAAAAAAAUACUUUAGAAAAUUUCUUUUCAGAAUUGAAUGAGCAGUAA